AGUGGCUAAGUGCUUGGCUGCUAACCAAGAGGUCGGCAGUUCAAAUCUGCCAGGCGCUC
rnacentral:tRNA from 1 species